UGGUCCUCCAUAAAGUCCUCUGCUACUCUCUCUCUCUCUCUCUCUCUCUCUAUUUCCCGCUUGAAAGACCCCACGAAUGUCCAGAGGUUUAGGGUUUCUAAUUCAUAGAUUUGAUCCUCAGUAACCUGUAUAAUCUCUCUACACUUUCGAUUAACUUAUUGGGAAACAAUCAGUAACAAUCAUAGAAAUGGCGGCUUUCAGUGGCCUCUCGCUAUGCUCCUACAAUUUCUCUUGUCGACCAAACCCUAACAAGCGUCUCUUUUUGUGCUCUCUCGCCUCUCCUUCUUCAAUAGGUACGCGUGGACCUAAAGUACCCCGUAAAAAAUCAGGAAGAUUGGAAGGGGCUGGAAAAAGUAUGGAAGAUUCUGUUCAGCGUAAGAUGUGACAGUUUUAUGAAGAGUCUGAUGGUCCACCUCUCCGUGUCCUUCCAAUUGGAGGCCUGGGUGAAAUUGGGAUGAAUUGCAUGCUUGUUGGGAAUUAUGAUCGUUAUAUUUUGAUCGAUGCUGGUGUUAUGUUUACGGACUAUGAUGAGCUUGGUGUCCAGAAAAUUAUACCUGAUACCACCUUUAUAAGAAAAUGGAGUCACAAAAUUGAAGCAGCUGUCAUAACACACGGUCACGAGGAUCACAUUGGUGCGUUGCCUUGGGUAAAUUUUCUUUUCUACCACUUUAUUAUGUUGGCAAUGCAUUAAACGUUUGUGCAUAAUACAUUGUGUUUUUCUUGGAUUAUUAGAUGUUGAAGACACUGAUUCACUUGUGUUUUGAAUAGAGAAGUUGAGAAUACACCAUUCAAGGGGUUCAUAUAUUAAUUACUUGCUACAUUGAUGAUUUAUUUGAUGGGGUCAAAAAACAAUCUGUGAAAAGUACCUAUAUGAUCAUUAGCUGCUCUAUAUUUUGAUGCAGAACUCAAUGAGUUUUGAUGUAGGAUGACAUUACAGUGAAGCAAAUAGCUGAUAACUAUCCAUUAGUAUGUUCACCACAUAUACAAGUUCAGUUGGCAGACAAAGCAUUUUGUUCCUUGUUUCCAUGUAGUGCAACUGAAUGUUAAAUUUUUGCUAGAGAAAUCAUUAGUAAUCAAAAAGUAACAUUGAUUCUCUAAGAAAUAUAUUUAAUUUUGAUCCA